GAUCCCAGGUCUCCAGGAUCACACCCCAGGCUGCAGGCGGCACUAAACCGCUGUGCCACCAGGCCAGAUCCUCUGAGAAGCAAGAUAAAGAAAUCAAAAGGGCAAGAGUUGUAUCAGAUGAAAUGCCUGGUGAGAGAAAAUGGAAGGAGCGAAAAGAACUCAAGACUGCGACACAAGUCUGACCCCAGAAGACCUGUGAAUCUUGGGGUAUCUAAAAGAAAGAUAAACUUCCACAUAAACUUGCCACAGAAAUUUGUGACAUCCCUAGAAAACACCAUCCCAAGGAAAGAAUUAACGGUAUUAAAACAUCUCACCCAACCCUGCACU